ACCGCCCGGUGACUCGAUGCCAGA
rnacentral:siRNA from 1 species